UCUCCUACGGGAGGCAGCAGUGGGGGAUAUUGCACAAUGGGGGAAACCCUGAUGCAGCGACGCCGCGUGAGUGAAGAAGUAUUUCGGUAUGUAAAGCUCUAUCAGCAGGAAAGAUAAUGACGGUACCUGACUAANAAGCACCGGCUAAAUACGUGCCAGCCGCCGCGGU
rnacentral:rRNA from 1 species